rfam:Ethanoligenens harbinense YTAN-3, complete genome.
UGACCGGCCCGAAGUCGUAAAACUACGGGGCCGCAGCCGAGGCAACCGGCGUAAAAAAGCGUA